AGCUUUGGUUUUCUCUUUUAAGGAGAGAUCAAACAAGAGGAUGGCAGAGAUGGACCUGGCAGAUGCUGUGGCCCGUUCUGGCUGAAGCUGCCGCUGAGCAGAGAGCCUGGCUUUGCAGAGGGGACCUGGAGGGGCCUCUCCCUCCCCGUACAGGUGGGGUACCAGAGGGUCAAGGCCUGCUAGAGAAACGGGCCCUUCAGUUCCUUUCAGAAUGGGGGGCGGCUUCCUCUCUCAGACGCCAACUUUGGAGGCUCCAAACAAUCUUCUAAUUUGAUCAAGGAGAGAGAAGCAAUCCCAACUGCUCCUUUCUGAAGGGCUGUCUUUCCCUGCGAUGGGUCCCAGGGGAUUUCCCACCCUCUGAACUGGAUUUGGGUUGAUGGGCAGAUGA